rnacentral:rRNA from 1 species
UACGAAGGGGACUAGCGUUGUUCGGAUUUACUGGGCGUAAAGGGCGCGUAGGCGGCCUGCUAAGUCGAACGUGAAAUCCCUGGGCUCAACCCCGGAACUGCCUUUGAAACUAGAUAGCUAGAAUCUUGGAGAGGUCAGUGGAAUUCCGAGUGUAGAGGUGAAAUUCGUAAGAUAUUCGGAAGAACACCAGUGGCGAAAGGCGGC